AGAGCCGGCAAAGGGCGGCAGCGCUGAGGGGUGGGGGACGCGUGGGGGGUGCUGCCCGCCCGUCUGCGGGGGCCUGCGGCUGGUGGAGGAGCGGGAGGCAGCAGAGGCCGAUACAGAGCGAGCAGCGCCCGCAGCCUCCUGCACCAGCUGUUGCCUCCGCGAAGGAUUUGGGCGAGAACCAGCAAGAACCAAUGAUGCUGCAUUGCAAAGCUGGUUGGAGGAUGAAUAACAGUGAAUACAAAACAUUUGAAAGCGGAAGGCAUCAUGUGCAGAGCUGUUUGCAACCCUGCCCUCCAGUGUUUGAAAGGAAAGAGGAGAUCUUUUACAUCAAGAAGCAGAUGAGGCCCAAUUCAUCCUUCUGGAAAUAAUGUCCAUAACCACACACUGCUGUCCUGUCUCUGCAAGAUAAAUUGUACUAAGGAGUCUCAGUAAGACUUGGUACUUUAUGAAAUGGCUGUGAGAAGAAUUUUUAGAGAUCUCUGAUGCCAAAAGAAGGGGUGUGUGUGUAUGUCUUCAUCAGAGAAUUGGAGAGAGCGUGAGGGAGAGAAAAUUCUGACCUCAGACCUGCCUCAUCACCCUGAUACUGCAUUAUGAUCUGGACCUGGCCAUCUCUGGGGCUGCCCUGCUUGCCUCGCUCGGGUACAGUGGCACUGAGCCCUGGCUGGUGAGAUCCUGCCCUGCUGGGGUGGGAGCAGCUCGGCUGCUGGCCCCAUCCCUGCGGGAGCAGCUGGCCCUUGCUGCUCCCUAGCAUCAAGCACCGCGGUUCUCAGCUCCUAACUGAACUUUAACUUGAAUAAAGUGGAUCAUCAGGAAGUUAAAGGAGCAGUGAAGGAAACCAAGGAGAUUCUGAAGCUAUGCUAAGUGAGACUGUUUCUGCCAAAUGAUAAAAAGUUGGACUGUUUGGAGUUAAAGUCAGAGGACCAUGUAAUAUUCUCUCAGUUCAAGACUGAAAAUUGUCUGAAGACAUUGAAAUCUGGGGAGUGGAAAAUAGAUUUUUGGGGAGGAGGAGGAAAAAUUCUAGUAAACUUCUGGAAGAGGUGUGAUUUGUUUCCCUGGUUUAAUUACAGUGAUUUAUAAGCAGAUUUAGAUGUCAUUCGUAAGUAGGUUCAAACUGAAGCUAUUUAAGCAAGCAGGAGAGAGUGUUGGUAGCAGGAAUGAAGAAUCUCUCUUUUGAGACAUUGUUGAGAGGCCUUUGUGAAUAUGAACAAUUACAACAAAAUAAAAGCUGUAGUCUGGCAUGUUUUAUUGGGGGUACCUCCAGGCCUUAAGCUUCAGUUUCUCCCUUGUUUUAUCUGUGAGCCAGUUGUCCACGCAGAACAUGACAGUUAAUUAUGCCUCUCUGUUUCCCUCUGACAAACAAAGCACAGGUAAUGCCAGCAGGGAUUAAACUGUUUGCUUUUGGUUUACAAGGAAUUACAGAGUGUGUGCAGUAAAUUUUUCCCAUAAAGGUCUUUCCUUAAGCAGUAGACUGGGGAAAUAAUAUUAGCAGCUAACACUGUGGACGCAGAGCUUGGUUCAACAACCUUUAAAUAAAAGGCCAAUAUGUCUUUCCCUCCAGAUGGGCUUCAGUCAGUCUACGUGGGUGCCAACAGCAGAUGUGAGCACGUGGUACCCAUGCUUCCUGCCAGCCAAGCGCGUGCACAGCCAGGCUUACAGCCCCAGGAGGGUUCAUUAGCCAGGUCCAGUGCUGCAUUAACCACAACUUAGAGCUUCAAGUUCAGAGUCCAUUUACAUUUGCCUGGCUCUCAGUGCAGGCAGGACAAGGCACACACUGCAGUGGGACUCUGAAUUCAGGACGAUUCAGAGAUGGACAUAUUCCCCGUAACUGUCUCUUGCUUGACUUAGCCGAUUUCCCUCCUGUCCAAAUGCUCUUUUCUUUGUAUAUAACAAGACCUGUCAUGUUCAGAAGUGGUAGGUCUCAGUGAGAAGGCUGAGGACUCAACAAAUGGAGCAGAAUAUUAACCUGUCUGCAGCUGGCUCAAAUCUGGCAGACACUAGAAGUGCCAUAUAUAGGUUUGAUCUCAAAGUGAAUAUCUCAUCUAAACUCUAAGUCAGGCCAAUAGUAAGUUAGUGUACUGUGUUGGCUCUCUUGUAGGCAGCUCUGCUGCUGUUUGUGCAAGGCUAAGGCUGCCUGGGACGCAGGAAAUCACUGCUGAUUUGGAUUUCUUGACAGUUUUAGGAACAGGGUCCUGGAAUUAACCUGGCCUGGGUGCUAAGAGCCUCUCCUUCCAAGAAGAGCUGGCUCAAUUCCAGCACAAGGCUGUGCUGAACAGGCUCCAGUGUCCUUUCCUACAAGCAAAGCAAAAACUUCUCUGCCCUACAUUGGGUCCAUGGCAGGAACAGCCCAGGAGAAAUGGGGACUAGAGGUGCUGGAGGGAACUUGGUAGAAGUUAAAAGCUCAGAAGCUUAACAAAUGAUCAAAAGAUGGCUUACUUGAAGUGACAAGGUCUAGGAAGAGAGAUGAAAGGGGGCUGAAAAAGUGGGGCAUGUGGCGGAGUACUUAAAUGAUAGGCUUGGGCUGUAAAAACUCAAGAUAGUUCUGUUUUCAGGCAUUUACUGUGAUGUGUGGAAGUCCAAAAAUCUACUCGACCUUUUUAGGAUCAAUCACAGAAAAGCCACAAGGAGGAGAUGGCAAGGGGGAAGAUUGUUAAUGCUUCAGAUUUUCUGUGGAAAACCAAGCAUCAGUGGCCGAAAACAUUACAUGAACGUUACUGAAGAAAAAAAUCCAUAAAGGAUACACAGAUACAGAUUCUAGCUCGAGAAGUCUAUAAUCCAGAGAUGCCUGGAGCCUGGGAGAAUGCACCAGGCAAAAUAUCAUUGUGUGCUUGCCCUUUUCUUUCACGUUGGCUGUGUACCUACACACUCCGGGGAAUUCUUCUCGUGCACGUUCUGUGAAUAAAGAGUCUUUAGCUUCAAACUU